rnacentral:rRNA from 1 species
GACGAACGCUGGCGGCGUGCUUAACACAUGCAAGUCGAACGGUAAGGCCCUUCGGGGUACACGAGUGGCGAACGGGUGAGUAACACGUGGGUGAUCUGCCCUGCACUUCGGGAUAAGCCUGGGAAACUGGGUCUAAUACCGGAUAGGACCCUGGGAUGCAUGUCCUGGGGUGGAAAGCUUUUGCGGUGUGGGAUGGGCCCGGGGCCUAUCAGCUUGUUGGUGGGGUGAUGGCCUACCAAGGCGACGACGGGUAGCCGGCCUGAGAGGGUGACCGGCCACACUGGGACUGAGAUACGGCCCAGACUCCUACGGGGGGCAGCAGUGGGGAAUAUUGCCCAAUGGGCGCAAGCCUGAUGCAGCGACGCCGCGUGAGGGAUGACGGCCUUCGGGUUGUAAACCUCUUUCAGCACCGACGAAGCGCAAGUGACGGUAGGUGCAGAAGAAGGACCGGCCAACUACGUGCCAGCAGCCGCCGUAA